rnacentral:rRNA from 1 species
AUUGAACGCUGGCGGCAUGCCUUACACAUGCAAGUCGAACGGCAGCACGGGGCAACCUGGUGGCGAGUGGCGAACGGGUGAGUAAUGCACCGGAACGUACCCUUCAGUGGGGGAUAACGUAGCGAAAGUUACGCUAAUACCGCAUAUUCUGUGAGCAGGAAAGCAGGGGAUCGCAAGACCUUGCGCUGAUUGAGCGGCCGAUGUCAGAUUAGCUAGUUGGUGAGGUAAAGGCUCACCAAGGCGACGAUCUGUAGCGGGUCUGAGAGGAUGAUCCGCCACACUGGAACUGAGACACGGUCCAGACUCCUACGGGAGGCAGCAGUGGGGAAUUUUGGACAAUGGGGGCAACCCUGAUCCAGCCAUGCCGCGUGAGUGAAGAAGGCCUUCGGGUUGUAAAGCUCUUUCGGCCGGGAAGAAAUCGCACGGGCUAAUACCCUGUGUGGAUGGCGGUACCGGAAUAAGAAGCACCGGCUAACUACGUGCCAGCAGCCGCCGUAACAC